GACGAACGCUGGCGGCGUGCUUAACACAUGCAAGUCGAACGGAAGGGCCCUGCUUUUGUGGGGUGCUCGAGUGGCGAACGGGUGAGUAACACGUGAGUAACCUGCCCUUGACUUUGGGAUAACUUCAGGAAACUGGGGCUAAUACCGGAUAGGAGCUCCUGCUGCAUGGUGGGGGUUGGAAAGUUUCGGCGGUUGGGGAUGGACUCGCGGCUUAUCAGCUUGUUGGUGGGGUAGUGGCUUACCAAGGCUUUGACGGGUAGCCGACCUGAGAGGGUGACCGGCCACAAGGGGACUGCGAUACGGCCCAGACUCCAACGGGAGGCAGCAGGGGGGAAUAUUGCACAAUGGGCGGAAGCCUGAUGCAGCAACGCCGCGUGCGGGAUGCCGGCUUUCGGGUUGUAAACCGCUGUCGCCUGAGACGAAGCGUGAGUGACGGUAAUGGGUAAAGAAGCACCGGCUAACUACGUG
rnacentral:rRNA from 1 species